rnacentral:rRNA from 1 species
UACGUAGGGGGCGAGCGUUGUCCGGAAUUAUUGGGCGUAAAGAGCUCGUAGGCGGCUUGGCAAGUCGGAUGUGAAAACUCCAGGCUCAACCUGGAGCCGCCAUUCGAUACUGCUAUGGCUAGAGUCCGGUAGGGGAGUGUGGAAUUCCCGGUGUAGCGGUGAAAUGCGCAGAUAUCGGGAGGAACACCGAUGGCGAAGGCAGCACUCUGGGCCGGCACUGACGCUGAUGCGCGAAAGCCAGGGGAGCGAACGGG